GUGGGUGUAGCUCAGCCGGUUAGAGCGUCAGAUUGUGGAUCUGAAGGUCGGGGGUUCGAGCCCCCUCAUCCACC
rnacentral:tRNA from 1 species